UGCCUUGGGUAGCUGUAAGUAAGCGAUGAUCCAGGGAUUUCCGAAUGGGGGAACCCAACAGGUACUACCUGUUACCCGCAUCUGUUAAGGAUGUGAGGAGGAAGACGCAGUGAACUGAAACAUCUAAGUAGCUGCAGGAAGAGAAAGCAAAAGCGAUUGCCUUAGUAGCGGCGAGCGAAACGGCAGGAGGGCAAACCGAAGAGUUUACUCUUCGGGGUUGUAGGACUGCAAU
rnacentral:rRNA from 1 species